CCUACGGGGAGCAGCAGUGAGGAAUAUUGGUCAAUGGACGAGAGUCUGAACCAGCCAAGUAGCGUGAAGGAUGACUGCCCUAUGGGUUGUAAACUUCUUUUAUAUGGGAAUAAAAUGUUCCACGUGUGGGAUUUUGUAUGUACCAUAUGAAUAAGGAUCGGCUAACUCCGUGCCAGCAGCCGCGGUAAUACGGAGGAUCCGAGCGUUAUCCGGAUUUAUUGGGUUUAAAGGGAGCGUAGGUGGAUUGUUAAGUCAGUUGUGAAAGUUUGCGGCUCAACCGUAAAAUUGCAGUUGAAACUGGCAGUCUUGAGUACAGUAGAAGUGGGCGGAAUUCGUGGUGUAGCGGUGAAAUGCUUAGAUAUCACGAAGAACUCCGAUUGCGAAGGCAGUUCACUGGACUGCAACUGACACUGAGGCUCGAAAGUGUGGGUAUCAAACAGGAUUAGAUACCCGAGUAGUC
rnacentral:rRNA from 1 species